GAGCGGGUGAGAGAGAGAGAGAGAGUUAAGCUACCUUAUAUUAUAUAAAUUGAGGGCUUGUCCAAAUCCACUCCCACGUUUUUCUAAAGCCCAAGGAGAGGGUGAGAGAGAGAGAGUUGGCUCAAGGGAAGGGAGGUAGAGAAAUAAGAAGAAGAAGAAAAAAAAAAGGGGAAAGAGAAGGAAUUCUUGAAGAAGAUAUGGGGGUGUGUGUGUUUUUACUGGGCAUUCCAAGCUCAUGGCGUGUCAUGCCAGGUGAAGAAGCAGCUUACGACGGGGAAGGUGAUCCCGAAGACAAUCAAGAUGAAGUUUUAGAGCCGUGGUUCACUUGAAAACUUGGACUAGUAGUUUGUUUUUGUGUUCUCUCUUCUUUUACCUUUCGGUUUGACAAUGUUUGUAAACCUCUAGUGGAACUCAAAUCAGUUAUCUAUGUUAUAACUCUGCUUGUAUGUGUAUAUUAACAUAUUGUGGUUAUCUCUUUUGUUUGAGUUGUACUUUAUAUA